rnacentral:rRNA from 1 species
AGUGAACGCUGGCGGUAGGCCUAACACAUGCAAGUCGAACGGCAGCACAGUAAGAGCUUGCUCUUACGGGUGGCGAGUGGCGGACGGGUGAGGAAUACAUCGGAAUCUACUUUUUCGUGGGGGAUAACGUAGGGAAACUUACGCUAAUACCGCAUACGGCCUACGGGUGGAAGCAGGGGAUCUUCGGACCUUGCGCGAUUGAAUGAGCCGAUGUCGGAUUAGCUAGUUGGCGGGGUAAAGGCCCACCAAGGCGACGAUCCGUAGCUGGUCUGAGAGGAUGAUCAGCCACACUGGAACUGAGACACGGUCCAGACUCCUACGGGAGGCAGCAGUGGGGAAUACUGGACAAUGGGCGCAAGCCUGAUCCAGCCAUACCGCGUGGGUGAAGAAGGCCUUCGGGUUGUAAAGCCCUUUUGUUGGGAAAGAAAAGCAGCAGGUUAAUACCCCGCUGUUCUGACGGUACCCAAAGAAUAAGCACCGGCUAACUUCGUG